AAAACAAAAAAGCCCUGAAUAAAUUAACGCUGAUAAACGAUUUAUUAUUUGAAGUAUUUAAAUCAGAAGGGCGCCUUAAUUUUGAGAAAAACUUGAGGAAAAGCGUGGAGCUCAGCCAUAACAGAUUUCGGCAAAGGAAGGUGCUGCAAGGAAGCAAGGCCAAUAUUUAAUUAAUUUAAAAGUAAAGACUUUCCAGCGGUGCCGCAAAUAUGUUAUGCAUUCUAUUUCUAAAACUUAUUCUUAAGUAUCCCAGUCUUUAUGUAAAUAUAGAAUGUAUGUAUGUAGAUAUAAGUGCAUAUACAUAUUAUGUAUAGCAUCCCAACAAGCAUUUCUGUAUUUUUAAAAGUAUCUUAAAGCAAGCUUGCUAUAUUAACAGCGUUUUUAGUAUUAAGUUUAUUUUAAGUUUUUCAAAUGAAGCUAUUAUAAGUGUU